rnacentral:tRNA from 1 species
GGAUAUAGCUCAGUGGUAGAGUGCUUGCCUAACAUGCAUGAGGCCCUGGGUUCAAUUCUCAGUACCA